rnacentral:misc_RNA from 1 species
GUCUUGAGCUUUGAGCUUCCUCGAUAGGAAGGCCCGACCCCGCGAGUGCCGGCCUGUGCCCCCUCCCCCCUCCUCAACCCCCCCCCACCCACCCACCCUGCCUCACCCCAACCUACGCGGGGGAAGAGAGGGGGUGCUGACGUGUUCGUCGAUGACUGCACGCCUGAGCCCUCACCGUGCGCACUCCCCUCCCCCCUCCCGUCCAUCAACGGAUGGAGGAGGGGUGCACGUAGCGCGGAGUGUGGCGGAGGGGAGGGGAGGCAGCCACCGUACUCGUGAUCUCCGUUCGCUCUCUCUCCCUCUAUGCCGUGGUACCCCUUCUCCGCCACGUCUCCUCCUCCCUCUCCUAUCCGCCAAACCACACGCAG